GUCUACGGCCAUGCCACCCUGAACGCGCGCGAUCUCGUGUGAUCUCGGAAGCUAAGCAGGGUCG
rnacentral:rRNA from 1 species